UGAAGAUAUUAAGGGCACACGGUGGAUGCCUUGGCAUAGGAAGCCGAAGAAGGACGUGGCAAGCUGCGAUAAGCCGCGGCGAGGCGCAAACAGCCUCCGACCCGCGGAUCUCCGAAUGGGGGAACCCGGCAGGGCCAAUACCCUGCCAUCAUUAGCUGAAUCAAAUAGGCUUUUGGAAGGCAACCCGGGGAACUGAAACAUCUAAGUACCCGGAGGAAAGGAAAUCAACCGAGACUGCGCGAGUAGCGGCGAGCGAAAGCGCAACAGCCUAAACCCGUGCGCGUGUAAGCCUCCAGGCGUUGCCGCACGUGGGGUCGUGGGACCCUCUCGUCCCGUCGCUGGAGCGGCGGGGUCGGGUCAGAAACCGGUUCGUCAGGGGAAGCGGCUGGGAAGCCGCGCGAGACAGGGUGAGAGCCCCGUACCCGAAGGCGAGCCGGCCCGUAGAGAGGGCUCCCGAGUAGCGCCGGACACGUGAAACCCGGUGCGAAGCUGGGGGGACCACCCUCCAAGGCUAAGCACUCUCCUAUGACCGAUAGCGAACCAGUACCGUGAGGGAAAGGUGAAAAGCACCCCGAGAGGGGAGUGAAACAGUACCUGAAACCGUGUGCCUACAAGCAGUCGGAGCACCCUUCGCGGUGUGACGGCGUGCCUUUUGUAGAAUGAGCCAGCGAGUUGCGGUUGGCGGCGAGGUUAAGGCAAGAACCGAGCCGCAGUGAAAGCGAGCCUUUAAGAUGGCGAUCAGUCGCCAGCCGCAGACGCGAAGCCGGGUGAUCUAUCCAUGGGCAGGCUGAGGCAGAGGUAAGACUCUGUGGAGGGCCGAACCCACUUCGGUUGAAAACGGAGGGGAUGACCUGUGGAUAGGGGUGAAAGGCCAAUCAAACCCGGAGAUAUCUCGUUCUCCCCGAAAUAGCUUUAGGGCUAGCCUCGAUCGCUUACCCGCGGUGGUAGAGCACUGGAUCCGUGCGGGGGCCUCACCGCCUACCAACCGAAACCAAACUCCGAAUGCCGCGGGUCCCGAGAUCGGGAGUCAGAACAUGUGGGCUAAGCCGUGUGUUCGAGAGGGAAACAGCCCAGACCGCCUGCUAAGGUCCCCAAAUCAACGCUGAGUGGCAAAGGAUGUGCGUUUGCCUAGACAACCAGGAUGUUGGCUUAGAAGCAGCCAUGCAUUUAAAGAGUGCGUAACAGCUCACUGGUCAAGUGGACAUGCGCCGACAAUACACGGGGCUAAGCGUUGUACCGAAGCAGCGGACUGUCUUAACAGUGGUAGGGGAGCUUUCCAUGCCGGGCCGAAGCGGAAGGGCGACCUUCCGUGGACUGCAUGGAAGUGAGAAUGCUGGCAUGAGUAACGAGAGAGGGGCGGGAAACCCCUCCGCCGUAAGCCUAAGGGUUCCUGGGCAAGGCUAAUCCCCCCAGGGUCAGUCGGGAGCUAAGGCGAGGCCGAGAGGCGUAGCCGAUGCGCAACAGGCGGACAUUCCUGUACCACCAGCCAGCGUUUGACGACGGGGCGACGGAGAAGGGUAGCCGGGCGGGGUUCUGGACGUCCCCGUGAAAGCGCGUAGGGAGAGCGGCAGGCAAAUCCGCCGCUCGCAUGUCCCGAGACGCGAGACGAAGCUUCAUGCGAAGCCGGCGAGCCCAUGCUUCCGAGAAAAACCUCUAAGGAGCUGAGCUGGUGCCCGUACCAAAACCGACACAGGUAGGCGGGUAGAGCAUACCAAGGCGAUCGGGAGAACCAUGGUUAAGGAACUCGGCAUACCGACUCCGUAACUUCGGGAGAAGGAGUGCCCUCUGCUGUGGAGCCCCUCGCGGGCCGAGCGGCGGAGGGUCGCAGCGAAACGGCCCAAGCGACUGUUUACCAAAAACACAGGACUCUGCUAAGCCGCAAGGCGACGUAUAGGGUCUGACGCCUGCCCGGUGCUGGAAGGUUACGCGGAUGGGUUAGCGCAAGCGAAGCCCUGAAGCCAAGCCCCAGUAAACGGCGGCCGUAACUAUAACGGUCCUAAGGUAGCGAAAUUCCUUGUCGGGUAAGUUCCGACCUGCACGAAUGGCGUAACGACUUGGGCGCUGUCUCAACCAUGGACCCGGUGAAAUUGUAUUAUUCGUGAAGAUGCGAAUUACCUGCGGAAGGACGGAAAGACCCCGUGAACCUUUACUGCAGCUUGGCAUUGGCUGUUGGUGCGGUGCGUAGAGGAUAGGCAGGAGCCUGCGAACCGGGAACGCCAGUUCCCGGGGAGGCGCCCUUGGAAUACUGCCCUCACCGCAUCGGCAGCCUAACGCGCCGCCCUCAUCGGGGGCGCGGACCGUGCCAGGUGGGUAGUUUGACUGGGGCGGUCGCCUCCUAAAACGUAACGGAGGCGUGCUAAGGUUCGCUCAGGGCGGUCGGCAAUCGCCCGCAGAGCACAAGAGUACAAGCGAGCCUGACUGCGAGACCCACAAGUCGAGCAGAGACGAAAGUCGGUUCUAGUGAUCCGGCGGCCCAGCGUGGAAUGGCCGUCGCUCAACGGAUAAAAGGUACUCCGGGGAU
rnacentral:rRNA from 1 species